rnacentral:lncRNA from 1 species
CUCUUGGAAGACACAGCUUGGUCCUUCACUUUCCUGUGUUCCCAAUGAGCUACUGGAUUCUGAACACAAAAGUGACAGCUGAGAAUGUUCUCAGUGGUUUCUACAACAUGGCUAUUUGCUUCACUAAGGCCUCAAGGAGAGUCGGUCUUUCUUCCACCUGCUCCCUCCCUCCUCUGAAACUAUUUGCUUGCUGCCUUCAAGAAGGAG